rnacentral:misc_RNA from 1 species
AUGCAGCUGCUUCCUCCUCUUUGGCCUUUUGAGCCUUGGCUUCUUCUUCCAGCAUACGCUCUUUUGCCUCACGCUCUUCGUCCUUCCUCCUGUGCAUUUCUGCAUAGCGCUCUUGUUUGGUCUGCCUUGAUUCACGUGCAGCUUCUUCAGCCUGUCUUUGUGCUUCUCGCUCUUGCCGUUUCUUCUCUUUCUUUGUUGAUGCUCCAGCCUCAUAAUGUUGACCCGCAACAGCUUCAUCAUCACUCUCAUCAACAGCAUCUUCAACGGUUGCUUCAGCAGCUCUUGAUGAGCUAGCUCCAGCUGCUGGUCUUCGACGCAUCCGCCGAGCACCAGUGGCACGCACCACAUUUUCCCUCUGCCGAACCUGAAGCUCUUCUUGAUGUUCAUCAGGUGAUCGAGA